rnacentral:rRNA from 1 species
UACGUAGGGUGCAAGCGUUAAUCGGAAUUACUGGGCGUAAAGCGUGCGCAGGCGGUUUUGUAAGUCUGUCGUGAAAUCCCCCGGGCUCAACCUGGGAAUUGCGAUGGAGACUGCAAGGCUAGAAUCUGGCAGAGGGGGGUAGAAUUCCACGUGUAGCAGUGAAAUGCGUAGAGAUGUGGAGGAACACCGAUGGCGAAGGCAGCCCCCUGGGUCAAGAUUGACGCUCAUGCACCGAAAGCGUGGGGAGCAAACAGG